rnacentral:rRNA from 1 species
AUUGAACGCUGGCGGUAGGCCUAACACAUGCAAGUCGAACGCGAAAGUCCUUCGGGAUGAGUAGAGUGGCGGACGGGUGAGUAACGCGUAGGAAUCUAUCCUGUAGUGGGGGAUAACGUUUCGAACGGAACGCAAAAGACGCAGACGCCACAAGGGGCAAAGCGGGGGAUCUUCGGACCUCGUCGUAUAGGAGGAGCCUGCGUCGGAUUAGCUAGUUGGUGAGGUAAAGGCUAACCAAGGCGACGAUCCGUAGCUGUUCUGAGAGGAUGAUCAGCCACACCGGAACUGAGACACGGUCCGGACUCCUACGGGAGGCAGCAGUGGGGAAUAUUGCGCAAUGGGCGAAAGCCUGACGCAGCCAUACCGCGUGUGUGAAGAAGGCCUUCGGGUUGUAAAGCAAUUUCAGUGGGGAGGAAAAGCUGGUGGCUAAUCUCCAUCGGCCGUGACGCUACCCACAGAAGAAGCACCGGCUAAUUCCGUGCCAGCAGCCGCCGUAAUAC